rnacentral:rRNA from 1 species
AGGACGAACGCUGGCGGCGUGCCUAAUACAUGCAAGUCGAGCGAAUGAUAAGGAGCUUGCUCCUUGAUUUAGCGGCGGACGGGUGAGUAACACGUGGGUAACCUACCCUAUAGACUGGGAUAACUUCGGGAAACCGGAGCUAAUACCGGAUAAUACUUCGAAACACAUGUUUUUGAAGUUGAAAGAUGGUUUCGGCUAUCACUAUAGGAUGGACCCGCGGCGCAUUAGCUAGUUGGUGGGGUAAUGGCUCACCAAGGCAACGAUGCGUAGCCGACCUGAGAGGGUGAUCGGCCACACUGGGACUGAGACACGGCCCAGACUCCUACGGGAGGCAGCAGUAGGGAAUCUUCCACAAUGGACGAAAGUCUGAUGGAGCAACGCCGCGUGAGUGAAGAAGGAUUUCGGUUCGUAAAACUCUGUUGCAAGGGAAGAACAAGUAGCGUAGUAACUGGCGCUACCUUGACGGUACCUUGUUAGAAAGCCACGGCUAACUACGUGCCAGCCGCCGC